UUGGUAUGUCUAAUAAAUCAACUAAGAGAACAACCAUGUUGAAUGCUUGUAGAUUGUAGCUCCACAAAAAAUUGCAUCUUGAUUGAGAUUGUCGAAUAACUUGGAAUUAAAAUCAAGGUGCUAAAAAGAAAAAAAUGUAUACUUAGCAAAUAAUGAAGAGAACAUAUUGAAUCAGACAUAUAAAAAAGAAACCUUGAGGUUGAAUGACACUUAUAUCUUAAAAGAAAAGUUUAGGAUAAUAAAGCUUAGUUAUGAUGUUAUCUUUGGUAUGCC
rnacentral:lncRNA from 1 species